ACUUUGGGGUAGUAGUAAGGACAGUGAAGAUGAUAAAAUGUUCAUUGCUCUUCUCAGAAUGCUUUGUCUGGAAGAAAACUUAACUGGCAUUCCAAGAAAGUGAGCUACUGUCUUAUACCCUGCCUUAGCCUUACCGCAGCAUCAAGGAGGAGACUGUGUGCUGAAGAAAGAACAAUGAUCUUAACACCAUAGGGGGAACUUCUGGAAGCAGCAGGAAGUCCCCUCUGUUUCUCUGCAAAGAGAUAGUUAAGCCUACAAAGAAGGGCAGCACCAAAGGCACUGAGAGAGGUGGCCAUCCCAUGCAAACUGAGGCUUCCUGAGGACUAAUUCAAGAUCAAGAUUGUUGGUCUUUUUAGAGGAAAUAAACCGGAUAACACUAU